rnacentral:tRNA from 1 species
GUGGAUAUGGUGGAAUUGGUUUACACGCACGCUUGAGGGGCGUGUGGCUUUUGCCAUGCGAGUUCAAAUCUCGCUAUCCGCA